GCAAAAAUAAUAAACUGCACCAACCCAAGAAAUAUUCACAGAUAAAGAAAUAAUCGCAACAAUUAAACGUGAGAGAGGAGAAGAUUUAGGGCUUAACUUAGGUUUUUUGAUAUCAAAAUUUGGAGUUAAACGUGAGUCCAAAAUUUGGACUCAAGUUAUUUUUGUUUUUCUUUUUUCUUUUUUUGUGAGAAAACGUGAGGCAUCAAUUUUAAUUUAUUGUGCCACCCAAUUUUAGGUUAUUUUUCAUGUUGGUAUUAUUAUGUCACCUCAGCUUUAAUUUUUCGAAAAGAGUCGCCAUGAGAAAAAUUAGAAUAACUCGAAAAGUUGUGUAUUUUUU
rnacentral:lncRNA from 1 species